CCUACGGGAGGCAGCAGUGGGGAAUAUUGCACAAUGGGCGAAAGCCUGAUGCAGCAACGCCGCGUGAGUGAUGAAGGCCUUCGGGUUGUAAAACUCUGUCUUUGGGGACGAUAAUGACGGUACCAAGGAGGAAGCCACGGCUAACUACGUGCCAGCAGCCGCGGUAAU
rnacentral:rRNA from 1 species